AUGGCUGUGUCCCCAUCUGGAGGGAAGGGCAAUAACACAAAUGGCUCAGAAAAGGACACUAGGUCACCCUCUGCAGGCCAGGAUGAGAUAACACAGACAGCAACAGUUAAGGUUAAGACAGAGGGUAGUCAUGCUGGUAGUACAUUCAGUCAUGCCCAUGAACUCCCUGACAUUAUCCCUAAACAGGAAGGUGCUACCCCAAGAGAUGACCCAGGCCUUAAAGAUCAGGCCAAUUCAGUUCAGCGGCCAAAGGCCAAGGAACAUGAUUCUUCCAGGUCUAGGUCUCCCUCCCCUUCCAGGGGCCAAGACAUUAAGAGGUCUGGGUCAAGACAUAGUCCGUCACCUUCACCUAGUCCUAGUAGGCAGCAGUCUGAUGGUCAAACUGCAACAGCAGUGAAAGAACGGUCAAGAAGCCUCUCCAGGUCAGUCUCAAAGGGAGAACGUUCUAAAACUCCUCUAAAGAGCCGGCAGCUGUCCCGCUCUCUGUCCGGCUCUCAGUCCCCUAAAUCUAGGAGGAAGUCACUCUCCCCGUCCCCAAAGUCAAAGUCACCCAAAAGAGCUAGCUGUCGGUCCCGGUCCACCUCUCGCUCCCCAACCCCCAAGAAGAAGGCGCCAAAGGCGUCAAAGAAGUCCAAGUCUCCUAAACGUCGGAGGACUUCAUUGUCUGUUUCCCCAAAGCGACGCAGAAGCUCCCACUCACCUAAAAGAAAGGUGUCACGAUCCCCUAAACGUGGUGGGCGCAGGUCCCCCUCUCUAUCUCGGUCUCCAAGGAGAAGUCGAAGGUCAGAGUCACGGCCCCGUGGAGGCAAUAGGCGUUCCAGGACCCGCUCACCUAGACGAGGUGGUGCAGUUGGCAGGCGUUCACGAUCACGUUCCAUUAAUAGAACCCGUCGCUCCCACUCUAGAUCAAGACGCCCUGUUCAUCGCUCCAGGUCGCGGUCACUGGGAAGGCGCACAGGAGGCAGGCGCUCCAGGAGUCGAUCUGUGUCUAGACGUAGGAGGUCACCACCCCCAAGAUCCCGCCGCUCACGAUCCCGGUCUGUCCGCAGGAGCAGGCGAACUCGAUCACGUUCCGUUGUAGUCCUUAAGCGCAACCGUCGCUCCAGAUCUAAGAGUCCCCGCAAAAGGACCAAAUCCAGGACCCCUCCUUCCCGACGAAAGUCUACAUCCCGAUCACCUAUCAGAAAGCGCUCUCGAUCCCCUGCCAGGAGAAAUCGCUCUCCACCAAGAUCUAGCAAACGCUCCAAAUCCCGCUCCUUGUCUCGGAGGCAUUGGUCAAAGUCACGCUCACCACCACCUGGCAAGAGGAGGUCCAAAUCUCCUAGGAAGGGUGGCAGAAGGUCAAAGUCUAAAUCUGACUCUGCAGUUUUGAAUAAAUCUAAGUCCAGUUCCAGGUCUGAGUCAAGUGAUGGGGAGUCUGAGAGCUCCUCCCCAGCCAGAUCCACAUCUUCCUCUCCUGUUAAAGAAAAGAAGCCAUCCUCUCCUAAGGUAGAGCAGACAGCUGGUGGGAAGGCAACAAGCGAAAGUGGAGAUGUUCCAGCUACAACAGGUCAGACCUUUUCCAUGGCUAUGUUUUGA
ensembl:lncRNA